GGGGCUAUGGCUCAGCUGGGAGAGCGCGCCUGCUUUGCACGCAGGAGGUCUGCGGUUCGAUCCCACCUUAGCUCCACCA
rnacentral:tRNA from 1 species